rnacentral:rRNA from 1 species
GAUGAACGCUGGCGGCGUGCCUAAUACAUGCAAGUCGAGCGAACAGACGAGGAGCUUGCUCCUCUGACGUUAGCGGCGGACGGGUGAGUAACACGUGGAUAACCUACCUAUAAGACUGGGAUAACAUCGGGAAACCGGAGCUAAUACCGGAUAAUAUAUUGAACCGCAUGGUUCAAUAGUGAAAGACGGUUUUGCUGUUACUUAUAGAUGGAUCCGCGCCGCAUUAGCUAGUUGGUAAGGUAACGGCUUACCAAGGCGACGAUGCGUAGCCGACCUGAGAGGGUGAUCGACCAAACUGGAACGGAGACACGGUCCAGACUCCUAAGGGAGGCAGCAGUAGGGAAUCUUACGCAAUGGGCGAAAGCCUGAAGGAGCAAGGCCGCGUGGGUGAAGAAGGCCUUCGGAGCGUAAAACUCUUUUAUUAGGAAAGAAAAGAUGUGUAAGAAACAAUAGCCGUCUUGACGGUACCUAACCAAAAAGCAACGGCUAACUCCGUG